rnacentral:rRNA from 1 species
GGUGAACGCUGGCGGCGUGCUUAAGACAUGCAAGUCGAACGGCAGUCUUCGGACUGUAGUGGCGCACGGGUGAGUAACGCGUAACUGACCUACCCUAAAGUCGCGGAUAACGAUUCGAAAGAAUCGUUAAUACGCGAUGUGCAGUCAGACUGUGUCCUGCCAGUAAAGAUUGAUUGCUUUGGGAUGGGGUUUCGUUCCAUCAGCUAGUUGGUGGGGUAAAGGCCCACCAAGGCGACGACGGAUAGCCGGCCUGAGAGGGUGGCCGGACACAGAGGCACAGAGACGCGGGUCCCACUCAUACGGGAGGCAGCAGUUAGGAAUCUUCCACAAUGGGCGAAAGCCUGAUGAAGCGACGCCGCGUGAGGGAUGAAGGUCUUCGGAUCGUAAACCUCUGAAUCAGGGACGAAAGACACUUCGGUGGGAUGACGGUACCUGAGUAAUAGCACCGGCUAACUCCGUGCCAGCCGCCGCCGUAAGAC